rnacentral:rRNA from 1 species
GACGAACGCUGGCGGCGUGCUUAACACAUGCAAGUCGAACGUGAUUUUUGUGGAAAUUCUUUCGGGAAUGGAAAUGAAUGAAAGUGCGACGGGUGAGUACACGUGAGCAACCUACCUUACACAGGGGGAUAGCCGUUGGAAACGACGAUCAAUACCGCAUGAGACCACAGAAUCGCAUGAUAUAGGGGUCAAAGAUUUAUCGGUGUAAGAAGGGCUCGCGUCUGAUUAGCUAGUUGGAAGGGUAAAGGCCUACCAAGGCGACGAUCAGUAGCCGGUCUGAGAGGAUGAACGGCCACAUUGGAACUGAGACACGGUCCAAACUCCUACGGGAGGCAGCAGUGGGGAAUAUUGCACAAUGGGGGGAACCCUGAUGCAGCGACGCCGCGUGAGCGAAGAAGGUUUUCGAAUCGUAAAGCUCUGUCCUAUGAGAAGAUAAUGACGGUAUCAUAGGAGGAAGCC